GCGGAUGUGGCGGAAUGGCAGACGCAGCAGACUCAAAAUCUGCCGAGGGCGACUUCGUGGGGGUUCAAGUCCCUUCAUCCGCA
rnacentral:tRNA from 1 species